rnacentral:tRNA from 1 species
AGCCUUAAAAAGGAAUCGGACCUUUAUCCCUGGUUUCGAAGACCAGUGCUCUAUCCAUUGAACUAUUAAGGC